CAGUAGCCGCGGUAAUACGUAGGUGGCGAGCGUUGUACGGAUUUAUUGGGCGUAAAGGGAGUGUAGGCGGUCUUUUAAGUCUGAUGUGAAAGCCCACGGCUCAACCGUGGAGGGUCAUUGGAAACUGGGAGACUUGAGUGCAGAAGAGGAGAGCGGAAUUCCAUGUGUAGCGGUGAAAUGCGUAGAGAUGUAGAGAAACACCAGUGGCGAAGGCGACUCUCUGGUCCGUAACUGACGCUGAGGAGCGAAAGCGUGGGAAGCGAACAGGAUUAGAUACCCCAGUAGUCCCUGUCUCUUAUAC
rnacentral:rRNA from 1 species